AUUGAACGCUGGCGGCAUGCUUUACACAUGCAAGUCGAACGGUAACAGGCCUUCGGGUGCUGACGAGUGGCGAACGGGUGAGUAAUGCAUCGGAACGUACCCAGAGGUGGGGGAUAACGCAGCGAAAGCUGUGCUAAUACCGCAUGUGAUCUGAGGAUGAAAGCGGGGGACCGAGCAGCAAUGUUUGGCCUCGCGCCUUUGGAGCGGCCGAUGUCGGAUUAGCUAGUUGGUGGGGUAAAGGCCUACCAAGGCGACGAUCCGUAGCUGGUCUGAGAGGACGACCAGCCACACUGGGACGUGAACACCGCCCAGACUCCUACGGGAGGCAGCAGUGGGGAAUUUUGGGCAAUGGGCGCAAACCUGAUCCAACAAUGCCGCGUGCGGGAAGAAAGCCUUCGGGUUGUAAAACGCGUUUGGCAGGAACGAAACGGUGUCCGCUAAUACCGGGCGCUAAUGACGGUACCUGCAGAAUAAGCACCGGCUAACUACGUG
rnacentral:rRNA from 1 species